AUUGAACGCUGGCGGCAGGCCUAACACAUGCAAGUCGAGCGAGCGGCGGACGGGUGAGUAAUGUCUGGGAAACUGCUUGACGGAGGGGGAUAACUACCCGAAACGGUAGCUAAUACCGCAUACCAUCAGAUGUGCCCAGCUGGGAUUAGCUAGUAGGUGGGGUAACGGCUCACCUAGGCGACGAUCCCUAGCUGGUCUGUGAGGAAGACCAGCCAGACUGGAAUUGAGACACGGUCCAGACUCCUACGGGAGGCAGCAGUGGGGAACAUUGCACAAUGGGCGCAAGCCUGAUGCAGCCAUGCCGGGUGUGUGAAGAAGGCCUGCAGGUUGUAAAGCACGUUCAGCGGGGAGGCGUUACCCGCAGAAGAAGCACCGGCUAACUCCGUGGCAGCAGCCGCGGUAAUUC
rnacentral:rRNA from 1 species